rnacentral:lncRNA from 1 species
UUUCACUCUCAGACAUUCUCUAACCCUUCAUCUCCUUAGAACCUUCUGGUUCUUUCAUGGCCUUCAUCGCCAUACCAGCUCACUCCUCCCUCACUCCUCUCGAUUCCCAACAACCAUGGCAUCCCUAUAUCAUGGUUUUAUCUCAAGCUUGAAGCCUAGCAGCUUCCGCCAUGGAACACGGUCACUGAAGCUCUAUUUGGGGUCUAUUUUCGGUGUUUCUUCGGUGAUCUUUGAACGAUGAUGCAUCAAGCUUGAAGCCUAGCAGCUUCCUCCAUGGAAGACGGUCACUGAAGCUCUAUUUGGGGUCUGUUUGCGCUGUUUCUCCGGUAAUCUUUGAAUGGUGAUGCCUUCUAUGACAUUGUAUACGAGUUUCACAGCCAGGUUCUUCAUUUCC